rnacentral:siRNA from 1 species
AUAUUCCUGGCCUAAAAAUUAGAC